GCUGCUUGAAAAUGCGCACUGCUACUAGGCGAGCUGCAGGAAACGUUUAAUGAACGGCUAAGAGGCAAAA
rnacentral:ribozyme from 1 species